UGCCAUCCCUGUCACUAUCAAGGGGCAGGAGGAUAAUCAAGUGACCCUAAAGGACUUCCUAUGUCUUACCAAAACAUCGAGUUCUGCCAGUAUUACAUCACCACAUGUCUGGAAGUAGACCUCAAAGCUCUACAUGGUUGUCAAGAACCAGGACACACAAUUUUAAACUCAAUCGUUGGGAGCUCUGCUCGGAUAUCUGCCCUUCAGAUCCUUCGUUUCUCUACCCAGUUAGAAUUCUGAAGGUGGACACUUGAUCAACACCCAAGUGUAUGUGGCAAUCCAAGUCGAAAGAAAAUGAGCUGGGAUUCAGAUU